ACUCAAAUGAAUAGACGGGGGCCCGCACAAGCGGUGGAGCAUGUGGUUUAAUUCGACGCAACGCGAAGAACCUUACCUGGUCUUGACAUCCGCGGAACCCCUGUGAAAGCAGGGGGUGCCUUCGGGAGCCGCGAGACAGGUGCUGCAUGGCUGUCGUCAGCUCGUGUCGUGAGAUGUUGGGUUAAGUCCCGCAACGAGCGCAACCCUUGUCCCUAGUUGCCAUCAUUUGGUUGGGCACUCUAUGGAUACUGCCGGUGUUAAACCGGAGGAAGGUGGGGAUGACGUCAAGUCCUCAUGGCCCUUAUGACCAGGGCUACACACGUGCUACAAUGGCCGGUACAAAGAGCUGCCAAACCGCGAGGUUGAGCAAAUCUCGAAAAGCCGGUCUCAGUUCGAAUUGGAGUCUGCAACCCGACUCCAUGAAGUUGGAAUCGCUAGUAAUCGCGGAUCAGCACGCCGCGGUGAAUACGUUCCCGGGCCUUGUACACACCGCCCGU
rnacentral:rRNA from 1 species